rnacentral:rRNA from 1 species
UACGGGGAGGGCAAGCGUUGUUCGGAAUUACUGGGCGUAAAGGGCUCGUAGGUGGCCAACUAAGUCAGACGUGAAGUCCCUCGGCUUAACCGGGGAACUGCGUCUGAUACUGGUUGGCUUGAGUUUGGGAGAGGGACGCGGAAUUCCAGGUGUAGCGGUGAAAUGCGCAGAUAUCAGGAGGAACACCUAUUGCGAAGGCAGCUCGCUGGGACGUUACUGACGCUGAGACGCGAAAGCGUGGGGAGCAAACAGG